GGAGGAGUGGCAGAGUGGUUGAAUGCACUGGUCUUGAAAACCGGCGUACUCGAAAGGGUACCGGGGGUUCGAAUCCCUCCUCCUCCGCCA
rnacentral:tRNA from 1 species